UACGUAGGGUGCGAGCGUUAAUCGGAAUUACUGGGCGUAAAGCGUGCGCAGGCGGUUCUGCAAGUCAGAUGUGAAAACCCCGGGCUUAACCUGGGAACUGCGUUUGAAACUACGGAGCUAGAGUGCGGCAGAGGGGGGUGGAAUUCCACGUGUAGCAGUGAAAUGCGUAGAUAUGUGGAGGAACACCGAUGGCGAAGGCAGCCCCCUGGGCCGACACUGACGCUCAGGCACGAAAGCGUGGGGAGCAAACAGG
rnacentral:rRNA from 1 species